UACGGAGGAUGCGAGCGUUAUCCGGAUUUAUUGGGUUUAAAGGGUGCGCAGGCGGCACGGCAAGCCGGCGGUCAAAUCGCGGGGCUCAACCCCGCCCAGCCGUCGGAACUGCCGGGCUAGAGUGGGCGAGAAGUGCGCGGAAUGCGUGGUGUAGCGGUGAAAUGCAUAGAUAUCACGCAGAACUCCGAUUGCGGAGGCAGCGUACCGGCGCCCUACUGACGCUGAAGCACGAAGGCGUGGGUAUCGAACAGG
rnacentral:rRNA from 1 species